rfam:Neotoma lepida isolate 417 scaffold_313, whole genome shotgun sequence.
CUACAGCCAAUUAAGCUGACCAGGUCCCUUUCUUGAUGGAGGCCUGGUUUGCAGUGGCUGCAAACAGCAGCGUCCUUGGUAGUACAUGCUGCCUGUUGCCUGUACGGGCUGAUCUAAGGGACCUUGGAACAAUUU